rnacentral:tRNA from 1 species
UGGCUCAGUGGUAGAGUGCUUGCCUUGUAUGCAUGAGGCCUUGGGUUUGAUUCCUUA